UUUCCGUAGGUGAACCUGCGGAAGGAUCAUUAUUAAAUAACCAAAUUUCGAUGUCUUUCGCUGAGCCUAAUGGUCGUCCACACCCGAGUGCCCUCACACACAUCCAUCUCACCCCGAUGGACGCCACAGCCUGGGUCCCCCUGUGGCGUUUUCGGAGAGGGGCUGACAUUUGUACCCACACUUGUUGUGCGGUGUGGAAUGUAUUUUUUCAUUUUUCGAUCGCGCACUCAAGACAACUUUCAACAACGGAUCUCUUGGCUCUAGCAUCUAUGAAACACG
rnacentral:misc_RNA from 1 species